rnacentral:rRNA from 1 species
GGAGUUUGGGCCGUGUCUCAGUCCCAAUGUGGCCGGUCACCCUCUCAGGUCGGCUAUGGAUCGUCGGCUUGGUGGGCCGUUACCUCACCAACUACCUAAUCCAACGCGGGCCCAUCGUAUGCCGUUAUGGCUUUUCACACUGCACCAUGCGGUGCUGUGCGCUUAUGCGGUAUUAGCAGUCGUUUCCAACUGUUGUCCCCCUGCAUACGGCAGGUUGCCCACGCGUUACUCACCCGUCCGCCACUAAGUCAAAGAGAAAUCCGUCCGAAAACUUCAUUCUCAGUGCUUCGUUCGACUUGCAUGUGUUAAGCACGCCGCCAGCGUUCAUC